GAGGGUAUAGCUCAGUGGUAGAGCAUAUGCUUAGCAUGCAUGAGGUCCAAGGUUCAAUUCCCAGUACCUCCA
rnacentral:tRNA from 1 species